UUUUCCACUUGGGGAGCAGGAGCAGGAGCAGCUGGGUGUUUGAGCGGGCUUCAAGUAAAAAACAAACAGCUAACAUGCUAACUGCUAGUGCUAUCAAACAACCAACUGCUUUUGUCGCCAUAAAGAGAGAAAUGUACAAAGCGGUGUCAGUGCAUUUCCAACUGGAGCCAACGGACAGGUUGUGGACCUCAGAAGGCCGUUAGCAGCGCCCCUACACUCUAUGACUGAAUGCGGGUAACAGGGUCCAAACAGGGGAAUGCUCUCCCAUGAUGCUGCGAUUGGCCUCAGCGUGUCCAUCCUCUGAGCCUCCACCCCUCCUCCCGAGGCUCAUUAACCCGAAGCCAAAUUGUAAACAUGAUGAUGUCACUGUGUCACUAUGUCCUUGACAUCACAACCAGGACACCAACAAGUUCA